GAUGAGAAGAUUCCGAAAGGCGGUUGCUUAUCUCUCUCCCUCAAAGGCUUCCAACAUCAGGUGUAGAAGCCUUGCUAGAAGCCUUUGUGGGAGAGGGGGAAACAAACGCCUUGCAUUAUUGCCGUUC
rnacentral:pre_miRNA from 1 species